UACGUCGUCUGGGAGCUUUACCAGGUUUAACUAAUAAAACACUCAAAUUAAAAUCUAAUUAUAUUGAUCGAUCAACGUCUAAUAAAAAAGUUUCCCAAUAUCGUAUUCGGUUGGAAGAAAAACAAAAAUUACGUUUUCAUUAUGGAUUAACGGAAAGACAGUUAUUGAAAUAUGUUCGUAUUGCCAGAAAAAUAAAAGGCUCAACUGGUCAAUUAUUAUUACAAUUACUUGAAAUGCGUUUAGAUAAUACAAUUUUUCGUUUGGGUAUGGUUUCGACAAUUCCGGGAGCGAGACAACUAGUGAAUCAUAGACAUAUUUUGAUAAAUGAUAAUGUAGUAGAUAUUCCAAGUUAUAAUUGUGAACCCGGGGAUGUUAUUACGAUAAAGAAUCCGGAAAAAAAUAAAUCAAUCAUUACGAAGAAUAUCAAUUCGUUUCAAAGACCAAAAAUACCGAAUCAUUUGGUUUUUGAUUCAACACAGUUUCGUGGAUCAGUUAAUAAAACGAUUGAUCGUGAAUGGAUUGAUUUAAAAAUCAAUGAAUUAUUAGUUGUGGAAUAUUACUCUCGUCAAGUU
rnacentral:precursor_RNA from 1 species